UACGUAGGGUGCAAGCGUUGUCCGGAAUUAUUGGGCGUAAAGAGCUCGUAGGCGGUCUGUCGCGUCUGCUGUGAAAACUCGGGGCUUAACCCGGCCUGCAGUGGGUACGGGCAGGCUAGAGUUCGGUAGGGGAGACUGGAAUUCCUGGUGUAGCGGUGAAAUGCGCAGAUAUCAGGAGGAACACCGAUGGCGAAGGCAGGUCUCUGGGCCGAUACUGACGCUGAGGAGCGAAAGCGUGGGGAGCGAACAGG
rnacentral:rRNA from 1 species